CCUUCGCUGAUGAGUAACCCAAUGACUUUCGUUCUUCUGAGUUUGCUGAAGCAACUACCAAUCUUCUGAGAAGG
ensembl:snoRNA